UAUUAGCCCUGAUUAAGCGAUAUGUUUGAGCUCUUUUUGUUUUUUCAGAUGUUUCCACUCUGAUCAAUAUGAUAAAAAAAACAAAAAAGCGAGUCGCGAAAGCAGGACUAAAA
rnacentral:misc_RNA from 1 species